rnacentral:rRNA from 1 species
GAUGAACGCUGGCGGCGUGCCUAAUACAUGCAAGUCGAGCGAAUUGACAGAGGUGCUUGCACCUCUCGAUUUUAGCGGCGGACGGGUGAGUAACACGUGGGUAACCUACCUAUAAGACUGGGAUAACUUCGGGAAACCGGAGCUAAUACCGGAUAAUAUUUAGCUUCGCAUGAAGCAAUAGUGAAAGACGGUUCUGCUGUCACUUAUAGAUGGACCUGCGGUGUAUUAGCUAGUUGGUGAGGUAACGGCUCACCAAGGCAACGAUACAUAGCCGACCUGAGAGGGUGAUCGGCCACACUGGGACUGAGACACGGCCCAGACUCCUACGGGAGGCAGCAGUAGGGAAUCUUCCGCAAUGGACGAAAGCCUGACGGAGCAACGCCGCGUGAGUGAAGAAGGUUUUCGGAUCGUAAAACUCUGUUGUAAGGGAAGAACAAGUACGUUAGUAACUGAACGUACCUUGACGGUACCUUACCAGAAAGCCACGGCUAACUACGUGCCAGCAGCCGCAGUAAUAC